UACGUAGGGUGCAAGCGUUGUCCGGAAUUAUUGGGCGUAAAGAGCUCGUAGGCGGUCUGUCGCGUCUGCUGUGAAAACCUGGGGCUUAACCCCGGGCCUGCAGUGGGUACGGGCAGACUAGAGUGCGGUAGGGGAGACUGGAGUUCCUGGUGUAGCGGUGAAAUGCGCAGAUAUCAGGAGGAACACCAAUGGCGAAGGCAGAUCUCUGGGCCGUAACUGACGCUGAGGAGCGAAAGCAUGGGGAGCGAACAGG
rnacentral:rRNA from 1 species